rnacentral:rRNA from 1 species
UACGGAGGGUGCAAGCGUUGCUCGGAAUUAUUGGGCGUAAAGCGUGAGUAGGCGGUCUUGUUAGUCCUAGGUGAAAGCCCUAAGCUCAACUUAGGAAGUGCCUAGGAUACGGCAAGACUAGAGUACUAGAGAGGGUCGCAGAAUUCCCGGUGUAGCGGUGAAAUGCGUAGAGAUCGGGAGGAAUACCUGAAGCGAAGGCGGCGGCCUGGAUAGUGACUGACGCUAAACCACGAAAGCGUGGGGAGCAAACAGG